AAGAUGAAGAGGUUGACCAGCGGGGAGAGCAAACCCCGGGGCAGCUCAGUGACCUUGUUGUGGUCCAGGUAGAGGUUCGGCAUGGCCCGAAACGAAUUGGCAGCCAGCACCGGGAAGUUGUUGCGCUGUUGCUUAUGGAACCACAGAGAACAGUCCCGUGACAUU
rnacentral:sRNA from 1 species